UUCAGCAGUUUCUCUGGUACACGUUUUCAGCAUUGAUAUUCUACAGGGGCACCCAUUUCCCAUACCAAAUAUUCCACGUAGCUCUUUCUUGGACCCGACGAGCAUUCCCGCAUUCCUAAUUGUGAGGUAAUUUGUUAAGUUGGGCUACCGUCUGAAGGGGGCAAGACGAUAGGGGGCUGUUUCUUCAUCAACAAUUCAUCAAGGCCGGCUAUGUCAAACGUGGAUUUUCUUGAGGUAUUUAAUUAGCAUUUGUCAUUGGCGCCAGAUCCAUGAGGUGCAACGUGUCCCGCUAUGCCGGCUUUAUCUUCAGGUCAUUACGGAUAUGAGUCAGGGAUGAUCAACAGCUUUCUCUUCUCUGUUUCCUCACCACAACAUGCCUAGCAUAACAACGUCUAAUUUUUUACUUUGCAGUCUAAGGGAAUAAGGCCAUUUUAGGAGCUAUGGAGGUUCACUAUUCUCUCCUUGUCUCGCCAUUAAUCUUCUACAGGCUGGCUGACCCUACAAGAGCUGACCCGUAAAUAAACAUUAAGUCGCAUAACCUAAGAAAUGAGUAAUUCCCACAGGCCCUCUUUGUCAAUGUCUAGCGGUGGUUUGGUCAAAGACACCAUUUUAAGUCAGUUGGGAGAAUUGUAAGGCGACAUCCAAAAUGGCUGUGGGUCUCAACACAAACCAUGUAAGGUAUUAGUCUUUAUGCCAUACGAGAGAGGAGAGUUUUGAGAGCAUUGGCAUGAAACCCAGCCACACAAUGAAAACUGUUCGCUUUCAUUUGGCUAGCCCACUUGUUUUGGAUGGGUUCUUUUGUGGGUUUAUGUAAAAAUGAAAAGACCUCUUAAGAUAGGGUGACCAGACGUCCCCGUUUUCCAGGGACAGUCCCCGUUUUUGGUGGCCUGUCCCCGGCUGGAGCUCCAUUAAAAACACUGCAAAGUGAAAUAAUAUUUUAAGUGGCAAGAAAGACCGGGCAGCAGAGCCUAUCGGUUGACGUCUCAAUUGCGUUGUGCUUGUUUUGUCCAGCUUGCUAUAGCAGCUUCACUCACUCUUCUUCUUCUACUAACUACUUGCUCGUGAUAGUUUUAGAGAAAACUGCUGUGGAAAACUCAGCCAGAAGCUAGCAAGUAUCAAGUGAAUCCACAUCAUCCCCACAAACGUCUUUUCAAGUCAGAUUGGAGAGGAAGGAGAAGGAAAAAUUAAGGGAGGAGAUUAGAAGAGUGAGGUGGAAAGGUAAAGAGAAGGAAAGGAAGGAAGACGAGUGAAGAAAAGAAGAGGAGAAAGAUUGGAGCAGAAGAAAAAGUUAAGAGAGUAAGAAGAGCAGACAGAGGAGGUACAAUGGCUCUUUCCAAGAAACGGAAUGAAUGGUAUAUGGACAGCAGCAAGAAAUAGGUUCACUGUUCCUAUGCGUAUUGUGAAGACAAACUUCAAUCUCCCUUGCCAGGAGUUCAUGGAGAAGCUGGCCAAAGACAGAGUAAUCCUGAAAAAGAUACAUUCUUCUGAGAAAUUUACAGAUUAGACUACCAGGACCACUGAAUGGCUGCUCAGAUUGGACAGUUCUGUCUUGUCUGUUGUGUUUCUGUUUUCUCUAUCACAGUGUGCCUGUUAGACUAAAUAUAUGAAACUGGAAUUGUCCCCCAUUCUACUGGUAGUACCCAUCAUGGUCUAAUCAGCCAAAUAAAGUAAAGACAUGUAAUUUUACUAAUGUGCUUAUUAUGAAUCCCAUUCACCCUAUUUUGCCCAAAAUAAUUAUCAAAUAAAGUUAUAUAGAUUUUUGUAACUUCAGAAAUGUAAUUCAUUUAACUUUGCAGAAUGUCUGUGUGCUUAAAUACUGAAAUUUGCCUGAAUGUCUGUGAAUAUGUAACCAAC